AGAAUGAACGCUGGCGGCGUGCUUAACACAUGCAAGUCGUGCGCGAAGGAGGCUUCGGUCUCCGGAGAGCGGCGAACGGGUGAGUAACACGUGGGUAAUCUACCUGGGAGCGGGGGAUAACCUGGGGAAACUCGGGCUAAUACCGCAUACGUUGGUGGGCUUAUGGGCUUGCCAAGAAAGCUGGCCUCUGUUUACAAGCUAGCGUUCCCAGAGGAGCCCGCGGCUGAUUAGCUAGUUGGUGAGGUAACGGCUCACCAAGGCGACGAUCAGUAGCCGGCCUGAGAGGGUGAACGGCCACACUGGGACUGAGACACGGCCCAGACUCCGUACGGGAGGCAGCAGGUGGGAAUAUGGACAAUGGGCGCAAGCCUGAUCCAGCAACGCCGCGUGGAGGAUGAAGGUCUUCGGAUCGUAAACUCCUGUCAGAUGGGACGAAGGUACGGAG
rnacentral:rRNA from 1 species